CCUACGGGAGGCAGCAGUGGGGAAUAUUGGGCAAUGGGCGCAAGCCUGACCCAGCAACGCCGCGUGAAGGAAGAAGGCUUUCGGGUUGUAAACUUCUUUUGUCAGGGACGAAGCACGUGACGGUACCUGACGAAUAAGCCACGGCUAACUACGUGCCAGCAGCCGCGGUAAUACGGAGGUGGCAAGCGUUAUCCGGAUUUAUUGGGUGUAAAGGGCGUGUAGGCGGGAAUGCAAGUCAGAUGUGAAAUCUAUGGGCUCAACCCAUAGUCUGCAUUUGAAACUGUAUGUCUUGAGUGCUGGAGAGGCGAGCGGAAUUCGGGGUGUAGCGGUGAAAUGCGUAGAUAUACGGAGGAACACCAGUGGCGAAGGCGGAUCGCUGGACAGUAACUGACGCUGAGGCGCGAAAGCGUGGGUAUCAAACAGGAUUAGAUACCCCAGUAGUC
rnacentral:rRNA from 1 species